rnacentral:rRNA from 1 species
ACGGGUGAGUAACGCGUAUCCAACCUUCCCCUCAGUAGGGCAUAGCCCGUAGAAAUGCGGAUUAAUACCCUAUGCGGUCCGAUGAGGACAUCUGAGCUGGACGAAAGGUUUACCGCUGAGGGAUGGGGAUGCGUCUGAUUAGGUAGUCGGCGGGGUAACGGCCCACCGAGCCGUCGAUCAGUAGGGGUUCUGAGAGGAAGGUCCCCCACACUGGUACUGAGACACGGACCAGACUCCUACGGGAGGCAGCAGUGAGGAAUAUUGGUCAAUGGGCGAGAGCCUGAACCAGCCAAGUAGCGUGCAGGAUGACGGCCCUACGGGUUGUAAACUGCUUUUAUGCGGGGAUAAAGUGAGGGACUUGUCCCUUUUUGCAGGUACCGCAUGAAUAAGGACCGGCUAAUUCCGUGCCAGCAGCCGCGGUAAUACGGAAGGUCCAGGCGUUAUCCGGAUUUAUUGGGUUUAAAGGGAGCGCAGGCCGGUGUGUAAGCGUGACGUCAAAUACAGCCGCUCAACGGUUGUCCGCGUCGCGAACUGCAUGCCUUGAGUACGCUGCAAGUGGGCGGAAUUCGUGGUGUAGCGGUGAAAUGCUUAGAUAUCACGAAGAACUCCGAUUGCGAAGGCAGCCCGCUGUUGCGUCACUGACGCUGAGGCUCGAAGGUGCGGGUAUCGAACAGGAUUAGAUACCCUGGUAGUCCGCACUGUAAACGAUGGACACCCGCUGUGUGGCCUGUUAUUGGUUGCGCGGCCAAGCGAAAGCAUUAAGUGUCCCACCUGGGGAGUACGCCGGCAACGGUGAAACUCAAAGGAAUUGACGG